AUGUUGCCAACCAGAGGGAACAUCUAAUUCUUCUCCUUGCCAAUAUUCACAUUCAGAAGGCUAAUAAGCAGUCUGUCUUGAAGGAUCUUGCAGGCAAAGGACACCAAGUGAAUUAGAUAGAGAGGUUAAGAACUUGAGGGUGGCAUUUACUGACCUGUUUUUGAAGCAUAACACUUUCAAAGAAAAUGCAAAGCCAUCGAGAUAUUGAUGCAAAGAAUGGAAGAAUGUAUUUCACUAAUUUUUGUAUACAUUUCUUGUUUUGUAUUUAGUGAUAAAGGAAUCUGAAUUGGGCAUAAAUUAUGUUGUAAUAUGAUUUCUUAAGCCUAGACUAGUAGACUAAAUAUUGUAAUUACAUUUGAGUAAUUAAUAAAAAUUUAUUUAUGUUACCUUA